rnacentral:rRNA from 1 species
UACGGAGGGUGCAAGCGUUAAUCGGAAUUACUGGGCGUAAAGCGCACGCAGGUGGCUGAGUAAGUCGAUUGUGAAAGCCCUGGGCUUAACCUGGGAAUUGCAGUCGAAACUACUCGGCUAGAGUAUGGGAGAGGGCAGUGGAAUUCCCGGUGUAGCGGUGAAAUGCGUAGAUAUCAGGAGGAACACCAAUUGCGAAGGCAGCUCGCUGGGACGUUACUGACGCUGAGACGCGAAAAGCGUGGGGGAGCAAACAGG